CUCUUAGAAGAUUUUCUCAAAAUCUCUUUCGGAGUACUUUCCUUCUUACUGUUUUGUCAAAGAGUAGACCCACAACACCAGCGACAUCAAUCUGCCCAAUUCCGCAACCACCGCCUUCAAAAAACGUUCCCACACAAACCUACAUCUAACAGCUCUCUUAAGAACUAAAAUCACCACUAUCCGCCACUGCCACCACACACAUAUAACUCCCUCUUUUGCGCCUCACAUCUAGUUCCAUUAAAUCUCGGCUCCAUCUCCUUCAAUUUAUAAACCCAUUUUUAGCGUCAUUGAAGUUCUUAUCUGCACCCACGCUCCAACCCUCUACGGUGAGCAAAUCCUUUUUUUUUUUUUAAUCCAACGCCAGCAGAAUCUUAACUCAAUAUGACAAGAUUAGACCCACCCAACUCGCUCCAUAAUGUAUUUCCAGUUCAUCAAUUUCUCUGUCAAUGCCUACAGAACACGUUGGUACCUCCAUCAGCUCACCUCUCUUUGGUUUUCAACGAAGGCCCAUUUCAGUUCAUGCUCCUCUACCUCGAUUUCAGCUGUUGAUUUUCUCUCUAUGGCUCCAUUUUGAUUUCAACAAUGUCAAACCCAUCUUGCUCGGCCAUAAGUUUUCGGAUUUUGCUUUAGUUGCUUUCAAAGUCCUUCAUUUUGUUUGCAUUACUUGUUUGGGUGUAGGUAUAAUCCAUCUCCCUAUGUUAUAUGUUAUAAAUUUGUCCCUAAAACUGAAUGUUUGUUUUAUGAUAUUGGGUUUAAUUUUAAUAUAAUUCGGAUGAAUUCUAUUAGCUAGGAAUUUGUUGGUUCAACCCUUUGCUGUAGAUGAGUUUUAUAGGAAUAUUUAUUACUUAUUAAAAUUGAUUCUCAUCUUAUUGUAAAAUCUUAUUUGUGAAAAUGAUCAAACUGUAACUCAUUCCCUCUAGAUCUGUAUGUUGAAUGCUUUAAAAUGGUUCUUGUUGUAGUGUGAUUUGAUUCAACAUUGAAAGUCAAUAUCGAAUCUGUAAUGGUAAAUCUGCGAUUAUUGUUUAAAAAAUGAUGUUGCAACUGUGCCUUUAAAAGAUUGAAAUUAUAACUUAUGUUUAGUAUUGUCAAUGCUUGGUUUGUUAUUAGUUUUGGUAGCAUAGUAUGUGUCAUUUUUCUUGAGUUCCGAAAUAAUGGUUACAAGGCUAUUUUGCUAGAAAUCAACUAAGCUAUGGGUGUUUUGAUUGUCAUU
rnacentral:misc_RNA from 1 species